rnacentral:rRNA from 1 species
AACGUAGGAGACAAACGUUAUCCGGAGUUACUGGGCGUAAAGGGCGUGUAGGUGGUUUCGUAAGUCUGGCGUGAAAUUUUUCGGCUUAACCGGGAAAGGUCGUCGGAUACUGCGGGACUGGAGGACGGUAGAGGCGUGUGGAAUUCCGGGUGUAGUGGUGAAAUGCGCAGAUAUCAGGAGGAACACCGGUGGCGAAGGCGGGACUCUGGGCCGAUACUGACGCUGAGGAGCGAAAGCGUGGGGAGCAAACAGG